UGCUAACGUCCGUCGUGGAGAGGGAAACAACCCAGACCGCCAGCUAAGGUCCCAAAUUACUACUAAGUGGGAAACGAUGUGGGAAGGCUCAGACAGCCAGGAUGUUGGCUUAGAAGCAGCCAUCAUUUAAAGAAAGCGUAAUAGCUCACUGGUCGAGUCGGCCUGCGCGGAAGAUGUAACGGGGCUAAGUAGUAAACCGAAGCUGCGGCAAUGUGCUUUUGCACAUUGGGUAGGGGAGCGUUCUGUAAGCGGUUGAAGGUGUGUGGUAACGCAUGCUGGACGUAUCAGAAGUGCGAAUGCUGACAUGAGUAACGAUAAAGGGGGUGAAAAACCUCCUCGCCGGAAGACCAAGGGUUCCUGUCCAACGUUAAUCGGGGCAGGGUAAGUCGACCCCUAAGGCGAGGCCGAAAGGCGUAGUCGAUGGGAAACGGGUUAAUAUUCCCGUACUUCUUACAAUUGCGAUGGGGGGACGGAGAAGGCUAGGUGGGCCUGGCGACGGUUGUCCAGGUUCAAGUGCGUAGGCUUGAGAGUUAGGUAAAUCCGGCUCUUUUUAAGGCUGAGACACGACGUCGAGCACCUACGGGUGUGAAGUCAUUGAUGCCAUGCUUCCAGGAAAAGCCUCUAAGCUUCAGAUUGUAAGGAAUCGUACCCCAAACCGACACAGGUGGUCGGGUAGAGAAUACCAAGGCGCUUGAGAGAACUCGGGUGAAG
rnacentral:rRNA from 1 species